rnacentral:lncRNA from 1 species
GAGGUAUGGUUAAGUGGUGAGGUUGCAGCAGCGACUAAGCACAUAUUUGGUGGCUAACUUACGAGUACAGGAAAUAAGAGGGGGGAUGAUCUACGAUAGCGGACGUGACUACUGAUGAUCAAAUGAAUGAUCCUGAACACCUACAUACGUCAGACAUAACCCCACCGUGUCCUCGAUCGGAGAAGGAACUCACGAAAGAGACAGUCACGGUUACGCACACGGUUGGCAAGUUUUAAUUAAUUAGCUUCAAGUUGUCUAGAACCAGUGUUAAACAAAGCUUCCACGUUGCCACAUAACCGCGGGCACGGCUUUCCGAAAGAUUUAACCCUGCAGGGGUGCUCCAACUAGUCCAUCACAAAUUACCACAAGCCGCAUAGAAAUCCUCAAUCA